rnacentral:piRNA from 1 species
UGCCAGUCACUAAGCGAGGAAAACUCU